GGGUCAGUAGGUUGGUCGUGCCACCGGUACGUACUGGUCUCACUGAUUCCUCCUUCCUGAAGAACCGUAAUGCCAUUAAUUUGGUGUUGCGGGGAAGCAGGACUGUUACUUUGAAAAAAUUAGAGUGUUUAAAGCAAGCUAACGCUUGAAUACGUUAGCAUGGAAUAAUGAAAUAGGACGAUCGAUCCUAUUUUGUUGGUUUCUAGGAUUGACGUA
rnacentral:rRNA from 1 species